UUUCCGUAGGUGAACCUGCGGAAGGAUCAUUACCGAGUGAGGGCCCUCUGGGUCCAACCUCCCAUCCGUGUUUAUCGUACCUUGUUGCUUCGGCGGGCCCGCCGCAAGGCCGCCGGGGGGCAUCUGCCCUCUGGCCCGCGCCCGCCGAAGACACCAUUGAACGCUGUCUGAAGAUUGCAGUCUGAGCAAUUAGUUAAAUAACUUAAAACUUUCAACAACGGAUCUCUUGGUUCCG
rnacentral:misc_RNA from 1 species